ACGUCAUUGUAUUCGCAAAAAAAGCGGUAAACUUUAAAAGCCAGACAUUCAGGGCAAAGCGCGAAAGUAAUAUGUCUCGGAUAUUGGGAAAAAAAACGCGCGUGUUAGUCAGUUAAAUAGUUAGAUAGUUACUCAUUUUGUUUAAAGUUCAUAAAUUUAUAUUGAAAAGUGUAAGGCAAUAAUAACUUAAACGGACUAAUUGCAAGAUCUUCCACAAAGUGACCAACGGACUGUCAGAUACUAACGAUUCAAAACAAUUAUGAAUAACAACAGAACUGGAAAUACCCGCGGGCGUGGGAGACCAAAGAAACGACAGUUUCAACAGAAAAAGGUAUGAAUACUUACCUUAAUACUUACUUACUUGACAACAGCGCUUUUAUCUGUUUAGUGUAGCGGCCCUGGCCCCCUCACUCUGGAAUAAAUUAGUUGCUCAUUUAAAAAAAAAUUAACCAAAUUUUCCUUAUUGAAAUAAGCAAACACGUGUUGUUUUCUGAAUGUUAUAAGUAGUGUAAAUGACAUUUUGUUAAAUUUUCAGGAGAAGCUAAAAUCUGUUUUAUUAACAUAAUAAAUACUUUUGAGUAUUUCAAUUUUAUUAUCAGUGUUAUAGUAAAAUUUGUAAAACAAAACACAACUACAAAUUGAGAUAUCAUUAAAAACAAUACGAAGUUAAGAAAGAAGCAUUUACCAUAAUUUUAUCACUGAAAUAUUUUGAAUGCAAAAAGUAGCAUAAGUGCUCUUAAUGUAUUUCGGAAAAUAUGCUCUCCUGAAAAAUAUACAAAAUGUUAGUUACAGAAGUUAUUACAUUCUGUACACGAUAUGAUUGUCUUCACUUAAUAUGUAGACUUUUUUCUGAAUACUUGAAAUAUGUGUUGAUUGAUUUUUUUUUAAUGAUAAUAGAAAAUUAAACUAUUUACAUUUAUUAUGCACCCCGUCGAAGAAGAGGGGGUAUAUUGUUUUGCACAUGUCGGUGGGUCCGUCCGUCGGUUCGUCCACCAGAUGGUUUCCGGACGAUAACUCUACAAUGCUUAGGCCUUGGAUCAUGAAACUUCAUAGGUACAUUGAUCAUUACUGGCAGAUGACCCCUAUUGAUUUUCAGGUCACUUGGUCAAAGGUAAAGGCCACAGUGAGUGAGUGACUCUAAAUAGUAAAAUGGUUUCUGGUUGAUAACUCAAGAAUGCUUACGCCUAGGAUCAUCAAACUUCAUAGGUACAUUGAUCAUGACUGGCCGAUGACCCCCAUUGAUUUCCAGGUCUCUAGGUCAAGGUCACAGUGACUGGACACAGUAAAAUGGUAUCCAGAUGAUAACUCAAGAAUUCUUAUGCCCAGGAUCAUGAAACUUGGGAACAGGAACAUUGAUCAUGACUAGCAGAUGAACCCUAAUCAUUUUCAGGUCACUAGGUCAAAAGUCAAGGUCACAGUGACUCUUAAUAGUAAAAUGGUUUUGGGAUGAUUACUCAUCAAUGCUUACGCCUAAGAUCAUGAAACUUCAUAGGUACAUUGAUGAUGACUGGCAGAUGACCCCUGUUAAUUUUCAGGUCACUAGUAAUAUACCUGCUUUAUGUUCCCAAAACAUACAAGUUGUAUCAAUCAGUAAAAUUUAUCUGCACCAGGGCCCUCACAUUACUUUUGGGGAAGGGGUCCGCAGCCCUUAGGAGGUGGAAUUUUCGCGGCGUUUCCCUUUUUGGGGGAUUUUUUUACUUACUCUCUCAUUAUUUCAUUUGUACAUGUUUGCACUAUAUUCAUUGCAUAUUUCAUAAUUUAGUAUGUUUGAAAAAAUUAAAUUGAAAUAGAUUUGAGAUAUAAUAAUCAGGAGACACAUCUUUCUAUUAAAAAAAAAACAUUUUUUUUUUUUAAGGGGAAUUUUUUCCCCCAAAAGGGGAAAAAAGUAUACUUUUCAGGUGGGGGACUGCCGCCGAAAUUCGGCGGCAGAUUUGAUAGAUUGAGGGCCCUGUGCACAGAAAUAAUUCCCGUAUUACACUACUAACAAGUUUUCCAAUUCCAUAUAACCAUACUAGCCGGACUACUUUUAAUGAAGUAACUUUGAAAAAAGAAAAUUAUAAGAGCAUUCAUUCUUCGUUAAUUAUGAAUGCUUAAACUCAUUUUUUAUUCCCCCGAAGGAGUGCAUAAUUAUAGUGCACUGUCUGUCCGUCUGUCCUUCCGUCACACUUUUACGUUUAGAUUUAAAAUUUCUUAUAAUUUGUAUGUAACUUCACAUUUAACCUUCACAGUUGGUAUGCAUGUGUAUAUGGACAAGGCCUUUCCAUACACACACAAAUUUUGACCCCUUUGACCUUGACCUUGAACUUAGGGUCCGUGUUUAGCUUUUAAAAUCUUGGUUUAGGUUUCGAAAAAGUGUUGAAUGUUAUAAGUAAUGUAACCGACAUUUUUAUACAUUUUCACUUUUAAGCUCACUUGAUUGCUCAGGUGAGCUUUUGUGAUUGGUCUUGAUCCGUCGUCUGUCCGUCCGUCGUCCGUCCACAUUUGAUUGUAAACAGUCUAGAGGCCACAUUUUUUGUCCGAUCUUCAUGAAACUUGGUCAGAACAUUUGUUCCAAUGAUGUCCUGAUUGAGAUUGAAACUGGGUCAUGCUGGGUCAAAAAGUAGGUCAAAAACAAGAAAAACCUUGUAAACAGACUAGAAGUCACAAUUUUUGCCCAAUUAUCAUGAAAGUUGGUGAAAACAUUGGUUUUAUUGAUAUCUCGGACGAGUUCGAAAAUGGUCCAGAUCAGUGAAAAAUCAUGGCCCCCAGUGCAGUCUUUCCGAAAUACCGUCGGUCCUCGGAUUGUUCUGGUAAUAAUUUGGAAAAUCCGGAAAUGAUUCUAAUAUUGACAGACCUGGUGUCCGGUAGUAAAAUUAUGGCGAAAUUUGGAAUUCCACAAGCUAUUUCCAGAAAAGUUUCUAGGCAAAAGAGGCAAUAUACCGAGUUAUUUAUGAAUACUCCAAUCAUGUAAAACAUUUUUUUCAUUUGUUGCAUUUAGAAUGACGUACAGUACAGGCAACGUGUACUUUGACAAACGCCACUCGUUGCGGUGUUCAUUUUACGGUGUUCGCUUACCAAACGACCCCCGCGAUGGGUGUUCAGAUCAAAUAUUCGCUGGGGCUGUUUUCCAUAAGGUGGAAAUAAUGUUUUUUACCAAAUUUUCGAAAUUGACAUUACAAACACGUGUCAUUUUCUGAAUGUAAAAAGUAGCGUUACUGACAUUUUGUUAUAUUUUGAAGAGAAGCAAAAAACUGUUCAAUUAAAAUAAUAAAUUUUUUCGUAUUCAAAUUUUGUAAUAAGUAUUAUUAUAACACUUGAAAAACGAAAAAAACUCCAAAUUGAUGUCUUUAUUUUUAAUUAAAAAAUUAAACAAGGAGCAGUAAUUAUAUCAUAAUUUCAACACUGAAAUAUUUUGAAUUCAACAAAUAACGUAAGUGCUCUUACUGUAUGUCAGAAAAUAUCGGAAAAUAUAUAUUCUUGAACAAUUCACAAAAUGUCAGUUACCCUAGUUAUGACAUUCAGUAGAUGAUAUGUCUUCCGAUGGAGACGGCUCUUGUUUUUAAAUUAAAUGAUUCAAUUUUGUAUAUAAUAAAAGGAAUGUUACGCAAGUCAAUUGUUACAAGUGCUUGUAUCAGUCUCGUGGCUUGCGCUUUGAUUGUAACCAACUUGUAUUGCAAGCCGGAAAGAAAAAAAUGCGAGUUAAAAUUUUAACAACUUGCAAUUUUUUUGCAAGUUGAUAAAAAAGUAAAUUAUUGGAGUCCUGAGUCUGACAUGCUACGCACUUGUACCCAGAGCUCCAGAUAACAUUUUGGUCAAAUUCUUAUUUUGCCCCCUAUUUUAAAAAUUAAUUAUUAUUUUAUCCCCUAUUUCUAAAAUUUUAUCUUACAUAACUCCUUAUUUGUUAAAUUAAUUAUUUCAAGCCAGGGCUAUUGCUGUGUCCAUGGCUCAGCUGUUCUCCCGGACAAUGAACCUGAAGGUUUUUAACCGAUUCAGAUUCACAGUCAUUUACGCAUGAGCUUAUAGGUUCAUGAAUUAUUGACAAAACCAUGCUUUGGUUAUUUGGUUCUUGAGAAUCUGGUUGAAUGAAUUCAUGUGGUGUGAAUUUUUUACACAUAAAGGCUUUUUUUUGCUUCCGAAGCUUCAAUACACCCCUUAAGUCGCCUCUUUUGAUUUUUUAUGUAAUGACCAUUGGAAAUCGGAAAAAAGGCCCAAAUUUUUAAGGAAAGAAAACACUGACAUGGGUGUUUCAAUUAUGUCGACAAACAUGUCCAUGAAGGUGCUUCGUCUACCAUGAAAGUCGCAGUCGAUAAUACAGUUGAGAUGAGAGCAGCGCUUCCGUUAGCUUUUAAAAGUUGGAAGUCCUGAAUUCCAAGCCUAAAAUUUUGGACGUCCCAGACAUAAAUUUCAAAGUCCCACUUUUAUUUUAGAAUUUUAAUACACGUACAUGUUCCAACUCUAUCCAUUACCCGAUAAUCCAGUAGUAUUACGAUUUCUAUUUUCAAAACCAAAAUACGGACAAUAUUGACGUCUGCUACCAUCCGCCAUUAUACACAAGUUGAAUUAUGGGAUGGGGGAAUUCCCAUUGAACAUGCGUUAAUCACGUGACGCGAUUUGAGAGAAACUAGCGAAGAUAUUUCGUCAAUUGCAGUCCAUGUCAUUACCAUCUGCUAACAAAUCAGAAAUAAAUAAAUAAAAUACCGGAGAAAAUCGGUACCAAAUGAACAUUUCCGAAAUGCCGAAUUCGUUCUCAAAUGAUCGCGCACGCGAACAAAUUUUCGUAAAUUGAUAAUUUGUCGGUUUAUUUGCUAUCUCCAGAGCCGAGAUUUCAUCGCAUUGGCGAUCAGGGGAUGGGUUUAUUAUGCAGACUGCUUAUUUUCAAAUGCGUAUAAUCAAAGUAUUAUCCAAAAAAAUCAGGAUUUUACUAUUCACGGAAAGUUACGAAAAUUCUAGCAACAAAUAAACAUUUCUCGUGUAUUUCGUGUACAGAUGAAAAUCAUGCAAAAAUUAGACUUCAUGCACAACGUAACGUCAUUCUUCCCGCGGGGAAAGCGUGGACUCUAAUAUUUGAUUGCUGAAUAAAAACUUCGUAAUGCAGAGGUCGCUUAUAUUGCUAAUAUUAUUGUAUACAGCUUCACGUGGGGUCGGCGUGUAUUCGGUUGCCUGAGAACUGAUUGGCUGAUGCGCUUACCAAGAAGACUUU